CACUCCAGUGACCUAGUGGUUAGAGCGUUUGCCUCGGAUGCAUGAGGUCAUGGGUUCAAACCCUGACUGAGUCA